rnacentral:rRNA from 1 species
CAGUCGCCGCGGGAAUACGUAGGGUGCGAGCGUUAAUCGGAAUUACUGGGCGUAAAGCGUGCGCAGGCGGUUGUGUAAGACAGGUGUGAAAUCCCCGGGCUUAACCUGGGAACUGCGCUUGUGACUGCACAGCUAGAGUAUGGCAGAGGGGGGCGGAAUUCCACGUGUAGCAGUGAAAUGCGUAGAGAUGUGGAGGAACACCGAUGGCGAAGGCAGCCCCCUGGGCCAAUACUGGCGCUCAUGCACGAAAGCGUGGGGAGCAAACAGGAUUAGAUACCCGCGUAGUCCCUGUCUCUUAUAC